GGGCCUAUAGCUCAGCGGUCAGAGCUGCGGACUCAUAAUCCGUAGGUCCCUGGUUCAAAUCCAGGUGGGCCCA
rfam:Treponema sp. GWC1_61_84 gwc1_scaffold_4234, whole genome shotgun sequence.